UACGUAGGGUGCGAGCGUUAAUCGGAAUUACUGGGCGUAAAGCGUGCGCAGGCGGCUUCUUAAGUCAGAUGUGAAAUCCCCAGGCUUAACCUGGGAACUGCGUCGGAUACUGGAUGGCUUGAAUUCGGGAGAGGGAUGCAGAAUUCCAGGUGUAGCGGUGAAAUGCGUAGAUAUCUGGAGGAAUACCGGUGGCGAAGGCGGCAUCCUGGACCGACAUUGACGCUGAACGGCGAAAGCUAGGGGAGCAAACGGG
rnacentral:rRNA from 1 species